rnacentral:rRNA from 1 species
UUGAAAGGGAAACGAUUGAAGUCAGUCGUACCUUCGGGUAAUCAGCCUUUCGGGUGCGAUUCUGUGGAGCGUGAGGAGUUAAACGCCUUCAUGCCUGCAUAUUCGUGCACUUUGGGUGUACUUGCCCGUGUGGUAGGUUAACAUCAAUUUCGGAUAUCAUAAAAUGGCUGGAGGAAUGUAGCUUUGGUCUCGUACUGAAGUGUUAUAGCCUCUGGUAGAUGUGAUGACCGGGAUUGAGGAUUGCAACGAAUACCUUUUGGGCUACCCGCCUGAUCUCUGAAAGUUGCUCUGGUGCCGAAAGCUUGCUUACGGUUAUCAAGGUUGACGUUCAAAAGGUUAGAACGGGUUAAAUUCGUUAAGGAUGUUGACGUA